CCCUCCCCCAGCCCCACAGGGGCCAAUCCUGCUUAAACCUUUGCUCUCCUUCCUCAGCCAAUCUCGGGACAAGGAGGAGGUGGAUGUGUUGGGGGAGGCAUGGAUGUCCACUGAGUGAAGAGGUCUGAGCCCCCCGUGGCUGACCAGGUGGAGCUGAUGCGCCAGUGACGCUCGGCUGCCUCUCUGCAUGUCCAGGUGAGAAAUAUGGGAGGCUCCUCAGCCCCCCAAAGGAGCCUGGCAGGGCCCUGGGGGGUCCCUGAGCCCUCUGCAGUGGGCAGAGCUUGGGGACAGCAGAGGGACACGCAGGGGGCUGUCCCUGCUCCGUGUCCCGGGGCAGCUGGACAGAGCUGCCCCCAAGCCUUGCCUUGCACUGGGGGCUCUGCAGACCCCCAGGCUCACCGGGAGGGCAGGGAGGGGCUC